UGUAGCAUAAGGUUAUGCGUGUGGCUGCUAACCAAAAGGUUGGUGGUUCAAACCUACCUA
rnacentral:tRNA from 1 species